CGGAGGAUCAUUACCGAGUGAGGGCCCUCUGGGUCCAACCUCCCACCCGUGUUUAUUUUACCUUGUUGCUUCGGCGGGCCCGCCUUAACUGGCCGCCGGGGGGCUUACGCCCCCGGGCCCGCGCCCGCCGAAGACACCCUCGAACUCUGUCUGAAGAUUGUAGUCUGAGUGAAAAUAUAAAUUAUUUAAAACUUUCAACAACGGAUCUCUUGGUUCCGGCAUCGAUGAAGAACGCAGCGAAAUGCGAUACGUAAUGUGAAUUGCAAAUUCAGUGAAUCAUCGAGUCUUUGAACGCACAUUGCGCCCCCUGGUAUUCCGGGGGGCAUGCCUGUCCGAGCGUCAUUUCUGCCCUCAAGCACGGCUUGUGUGUUGGGCCCCGUCCUCCGAUCCCGGGGGACGGGCCCGAAAGGCAGCGGCGGCACCGCGUCCGGUCCUCGAGCGUAUGGGGCUUUGUCACCCGCUCUGUAGGCCCGGCCGGCGCUUGCCGAUCAACCCAAAUUUUUAUCCAGGUUGACCUCGGAUCAGGUAGGGAUACCCGCUGAACUUUAAGCAUAUC
rnacentral:rRNA from 1 species